CCACAACGCCCAGAAAGCACCGCGCCUCCCGAGCUGGAACUCGUUAAGGGGGAACAGGGAACCCGCGAGAGGAUGCGCCAAACGCUAAGGCUCUGCAGGCGCCUGCGCAGUGUUCUGGGGAGCGAGUGGAACACACACACCUACCGGAGCGAAUCCAAGUGAAAACAGUGUGGGAGCCCUGCGGAGCUCUGCUGGAAAGAAAGCGCGUUCCUCCCCAAGCUCUGGCCUGGUGUCCGCAGCUACUGAGAGUGACACUUUUCCCCCCAGCGUCUGCGUACUUUAAGUGGUUCCAACCAGUUAAACCAGCCUGGGCUGCUGACCCACCCCGCCUCUGGGCGGAGCACCUUGCUGGCCUUCUUUGGGCGGAGAUCUUCCUUUGGAGAAUUCUUGCCUGGGGGUUUGGAGAAAGGAGGCUUCUGGGGCCAGGGCUGGGCAAUCCGCAGGACCCCUGAAGUGUGUUGACUUGCGGGAAACUGCUGGCUCCCACCCACUUGCCUCCGCAGUUAGCAAUCCAUACCCGAGUUAAAGCCGCACAGCAUCACGUUCAGCUUACAAAUAGAAACAGCUGCGUAUCCUCCAGAAGUCCCCCACGAAGGACGGAAAACGUGUUGGCUGGUGCAUACUGUAAUAAACAGCACUCCAUGGAAUUAUUCUGGGUUUAUGACAUUGGCAGUCAGAAGAGAGAUGAGAUUUCUAGUGUCUGCUUCUUCACUGAUCCAUCGUGUGCUACACUCCCAAGCCAUCUUUGCUCAAAUAUGACAAGUCCAUCCCCUUGUGCAAAAGAGUCACUCCCAGUGGAACACUGAGGUCCUAGAGGGACCUUUCCACAACCCCUGUAGCAAUAAAACAGCCUCCAUGAGAAGAUGGCCUUUCUACAGAUUGAACCUAGGGCCUUAGCAAUGCUAGGCAAACACUGGGCUACAGCUCUAGCACAAGACUUCCGGAUCCAAACAUUCUUCAGCUGUGAUGCAAACCUUUUGCCUGUGCAACAUUCAUCUGAACUGACUUGCAUCGCCCCCACGGGACUGAGGAUAAGGAGAGCCGAUGUGAACAUAAAACUUGUUGCUCUACACCUACGCUGCGACCCUUUAAUUCAGUCCCUCAUGGUGUGGCAACCCGAACCAGAACAUUCUUUUCAUUGCUACUUCAUAGCUGUAAUUUUGCUACUGUUACGAUUUAUAAUGUAAAUAUAUGUUUUUCUGUGGUGUUAAGUGACCCCUGUGAAAAGGUCGUUUGAUUCCAGGGGGUGGUGACCCACAGUUUGAGAACCACUGUUCUACAAGGGAAAAGGUGCUAGCCCUGUCCCAGAAGUCUGAUAACCUCCAUUAACACCCAUGAUCUUUGGCAGGCUAAUGUAUGAGCACUUUAAGUGUGAUCAAAGCUUAGCUCCUUCCCAGUUAUUGGCACUUUUUAAUCUAAUAAUUGACUUAAUCACAUGAAAUAUGUAAGACGCCUCCUUUCCAUAUGCCAACCCUUCAUCCCAGCACACACACAUCAUGUACAUGCAAACAAACUUUUUUAUCUCCCCCAAUACACCUACUUUAGUAAUUUGGAUUACAACGCUAUUCAAUAUUUACAGGGAUAAGGCUACAAAUGCAUUUACAAGCACAGUUCAGUUGUGUGUGUGUGUGUGUGUGUGUGUGCAUAUGCCUGUGUGUGUGUGUGUGUGUGUGUGUGUGUGUGUGUGUGUGUGUGUGUUAGUUAAGAACAAGAAGGUACUAUUGGAUGGAUCACAGGGCCCCCAAUGGAGGAGCUAGAGAAAGUACCCAAGGAGCUAAAGGGAUCUGCAACCCUAUAGGGGGAACAACAUUAUGAACUAACCAGUACCCCGGAGCUCUUGACUCUAGCUGCAUAUGUAUCAAAAGAUGGCCUAGUCGGCCAUCACUGGAAAGAGAGGCCCAUUGGACUUGCAAACUUUAUAUGCCCCAGUACAGGGGAACGCCAGAGCCAAAAAGGGGGAGUGGGUGGGUAGGGGAGUGGGGGGGUGGGUAUGGGGGACUUUUGGGAUAGUAUUGGAAAUGUAAAUGAGGAAAACACCUAAUUAAAAAAAAAAUGAGAAGGUACUCCAAAGUUUGAUAGACCACUAUGGGGAUACCUGCACAAAUUAAAACUGAUAAUGCUCCCUCAUAUGUAUAUAAUGAGAAGCAACAAUUCUUUGAAUAUUACAAUAUAAAACAUGUUAACUGGUAUACCACAUAAUCCCACAGGAUAAGCAGUUACAGAAAGAGCCAACUGUACCUUAAAAGAGAUGCUUAUUAAACAAAAAGGGAGAGCAAAAAUCCCCAAGGGCCAACUAAACAAUGUGUUGCUAACUCUCAAUUUUCUUAAUGUUGGUGAAAAAGGAACAGCAGCAGCUGAGUGAGACUCACUGGGUUAUCGGAAAAAAAAAACAAAACAAAACAAAAACAACAACAACAAAACCCUGAGGAACUAGGUCGGCCAAUAUACCAUAAGGAUGUGUUGACAUAAGAAUGGAAACCUGCAAUCGUGCUAAGAUGGGGAUGUGACUAUGCGUAUGUAUCUACAGAGAAUGAAAAACUAUGGAUACCAACAAAACUUAUAAAGAUUAGGUCUGACCAGGGAAAACCUCUGAUCAGCUGAGACCUAAAUGUCUUCACAAAAAAUAUCCCAGGUGAUUCACCCUCACAAGCUGUCUCAGUUACUGAUUUCUCUCCAAAGUGCAUGUAAAUCAAGUUCAAAAGGGCUAGCUAGACUUAAUGAUAGAUCUCACAAAGACUGGAAAGACACAGAGACUGGCCAAUAAAUGCUACAGCUAGCUUUUUCCAAGUAACCAUUUUCUUCCUUGGGACCUCUAGAGGAAUUCUUCACCCCAGUUCAGCAGAAGCAAUUUUACAAAGAUCAUCACCCUAGCCCCUUAAAUCAGGGUGGAUAGGUUUGGUCAUUUGAUGUAUUAUAUUUGUUAUCAUCCAGGAUGGAAGGUUGUUAUUGGUUAUCAUCAGGGAUUGAUAAGAAUUUAGAAGUGUUUUGUUUGAAUUAUUGUAUAUCAAUAGAAAUUUAAGGUUUUUUUUUUUGUUUAACUAGUGGUUAUUGAUAGAAAUUUAAUAUUGUUUUGUCUGAAGUAUUGUAUAUUGAUAGAAAUUUAAGGUUGUUUUGUUAGCUUAGUUGAUUAUAUUGUACACGUGUCAUUUAUUGGAAAUGUGAUGGUUCUUACAAUUAUUUCUAUUAUGCAUAGAUUGCUAAUGAUAAAGAAAAGGACAAAUUUUUUUGAAGAUUUAUUUAUUAGAUGUAAGUACACUGUAAGAGGGCAUCCAAUCUCAUUACAGAUGGUUGUGAGCCACCAUAUGGUUGCUGGGAUUUGAACUCAGGACCUUCGGGAAAGCAGUCAGUGCUCUUAACCGCUGAGCCAUCUCUCCAGCCCCAAGGACAAUUCUUAAACAGAAAGGGGGAUAUGAAGUGGAAACUCCUAGUGUCUUUGGAAAGCUAUAUGUUUUGCUGGAGCACACAGGUUAAAGGCUGUCUUGCUAAAGCAAACAAACACGUGAAAGUUUUCCUGAAGCAGACACAGAAUAAAGAAUCUUUUGAUACAGCAAAUACAAAAAGGACCCAGGAUGAAGGAGUAUAAAUAUGACCCCACAGACAGUGGGAGCCAAGCGCUGGGCUCUGGUUUGCUUUGCUCUGCCUUGCUGUUCUUCACUAACAAUACGCAUGCAUUGGCUCACCUUACAUAGUGUUGUUGAGUUCAACUUGUGGUAAUGCUGCCAUUGAGUAAAACUCGACCAAGAACUACUUGUAAGGUUCCUGCGUCAGCUUGCUGCUUCAGUAGUCUUGCCUCAGGCUGGUUGGGGAGCCUUGUGGUUCCUUCCGGAUUGAACUUCAGCUGCUGGUUCAUGCCUGGUGCCUGCCUGCCAAGAGCUGCUGCUGAGUUGUAUUUGGUAUUUCCUAUGGGACCGAACUACUGCCAAAGAAGAUUCAGUUCACCCCCAAAGAACUAUUGCUGAACAAGUCCACUCUCCCUAUAUCCUAAUAACUUUUCUCUUCCACCACCUCUUCUGGGUGAUGGGCUAGAGGAGAGGUUAAACCCUUAUUAAAAGUAGGUUGCAAAAAAUAUGUAUGCCAACAGACCCCCCUAUCCAUCUACCAGACUAUACUAUUAAAGGGUCCAGGAAAAACCUGCUGAGGAACUUUGUUAUUUUUCUGAUAAUUUGUGUUUGUUUGUUCUGCCCCUUUGUCUUUUCCCAUUUCUUUCUUUUCUAUAUUUUAGUAAUAUUUUGACUUUUUUUUUUUUAUAAAAUUUCACUUUUUGUUUUCCUCUCUUACAUCUGGCUGAUUUUGUUUCCCUUUUUCUUCUCUUUGUUGUGAAACCCCAUGGUUUCUACCUCAUUCUUCUUUUUGUCCUUUAUGAUGUUUUCUCCGUUCCUCUUGGUCAUUCUCUCAUUUGUCUUUCCCUUUCCUUUAACAUGUUUCCUACCAUCUUCCUCGGCAUCGAUUACUAUUAUUAAUUUAUGCCACAUAAUAUUUGAGUUCAUAGCUUCUCUGUAUGUCACCAUUUCCUGCAUCCCUGGUAGUACAGCAGCACUACUCAGAGUAUAUUCUAUCUGGUGUGUUAUGUUGUAGACCUUACAGUGACUUCUGCUCACUUAGCAGUAAUGGGAGCUGUACCCUCAAGAGAAGAUUUCCAGACAAAACCAAUAGAUAGUUAUACCAAAAGAUGCGCUAAUCAUAGCACAGAAACACACAAUAUCAAGAUAAUAUGGGUCCUCCAAAGAUCAUGAAUUCGAAGACAUGCUACAUAAAGAACUCAGAAGUCUACUGGGGGGCGGGGCUGGAGAGAUGGCUCAGCAGUUAAGAGCACUGACUGCUCUUCCAGAGGUCCUGAGUUCAAAUCCGAGCAACUACAUGGUGGCUCACAACCAUCUGUAAUGAGAUCUGAUGCCCUCUUCUGGUGUGUCUGAAGACAGCUACGGUGUACUUACAUAUAAUAAAUAAAUAAAUCUUUAAAAAAAAAAGUCUACUUGGAAAAGUUAACAAUGACUCCAAGAGCAUCAAGUAAGUGAGCGGAUACAGUUAAGAAAUCAGUGCUGGAUCCAGAGAAGAAAUGUGGCAGCUUUGAUGAGACAGUCAGUGGCAGAUGAAAUUCAACAUGGAAACAGGUUUUUAAGGAAAAAAACAUGAACAGAUGUGCGGGACGUGGGGGAUGUAGUGCACACCUUUUAUCCCAGCAAUGGGGAGGCAGAGCUAGGCAGAUCUCCAACUAAGAGAUCAAUGUGGUCUGCAGAAUUGAUUCCAGGACAGCCAAGGCUACCCAGAGAAACCCUAUAUUCAAAACAACAACAAAACAAACAAACAAAGUAUGUUUUGAAUGAAGAUCUCAGUAAAUCUGGGGCUUGAGAGAGAGAGCUCAGCAGCUAAGAGUACUUGCUGCUCUUCCAGAGGGCAAGGCAAGCUCGGGGCCAGUUAUAUCAGCACCCACAACAGUCAGCUCACAGCUGCCUCUAACUCUAGUUCCAGAGGACCUGGUGCCAUCUCCUGGCCUCUGUGAGCCCCUUCACACUCUCAGCAUACACUCCCUAAGAUACAUACACAUAGAUAAGAAGAAAAAUCAAGAAAUCAAAUAAAAACCACAGUGAAAGCAAAACUGAGGACAUUCUGUAGCUUGUCUUUGCUAAUUAUGGGUUUUUUUUUCCACCCCUUAUUCCCACCCCCUCAACCAUGGUUUCAACCCCUAACACUAGAUAGGGGAGGAAAGAAAGAUGGAGGAGGGGAAGAGAGAGGGAGAGGUGUCACUGAGUCUAAUCUCUUUCCCCUUGCUUCUUCUUGAACAUGACUUAGUAGUCACACGACACCAUAACCAUCUUCCCUGAAUGAACAACAACCUUGCCUCUGGGGACCCUAGCAUUUAUAUACCCUCUGAAAAGUUCCCAGGAUUUCAAAUGUCACACAGUUGCAGAAACUAUCUGCAGCUGGCAAAACCUUGCCUCUGCUAGAACAUGAGACAAAUUAUAGCUGGCACACAGCCCCACAUCCCUACACCGGAGGUUUUUUGUUUGUUUGUUUGUUUUUUUAAGCACAUACUUAUGGUAUUUAUGUGUUAAAAAAGAAAAGAAAAGAAAUUCCAAAAUUGUUACCUCAUUUUACCCCUUCUGUUUUAAGACAUUAAUUAUGCUGUGUGUAUCAGAAAUUAUAAACAGACAUUUUCAAUGAAGUAAGUGCUUUGGGGUUACUGGUCAAGCUUUUCAGGAGAUCUCUCCUGCCCAGAUAGAAUCUUUGUCAGUUGUGAUGGUAUCCACAGCUUUUCAUUUCCUGUGGAAAUAUAAACAAAUUUGUAUCCCCAGUGUGAAACUUUCCCGGGCCGUUAUUCUGAUGUUAGCACAUCCUAAUAGUAUAUAGGCUGACUUAAUUCUUCAGGUUUGUUUUUCUAUAACCUAGUGUCUCUUGGCUGCUGUUGUUCCUUUCUCAUUAACAUUUAGAAAAUUUAAAGUUAGCAGGGUAUUAUUUAGUCUAUCCCAGGGGGUCUUUAUUCUUCCUUUUUGUUUUUUAUAAGCAUUUCCUUUAAGGUGUUAUUAGCUCUUUCUACAACUGCUGUCCUGUAGGAUUAAGUGAUGUGCCUGUAAUGUGCUCUAUAUUAUAAUGUGCAAAGAAUUGCUUCCUCUUACUGGAUUCAUAUGCAGAGACAUGAUCAGUCUUAAUUUGUACAGGUAUCUCCAUAGUAGCUAUUAUUUCCAGUAAAUGUGUAAGUACAAAAUCAGCCUCUUGGCACUCAUUACAGCUGCCCAUUGAAACCCUGAGUAUGUGUGUGUCAGUGAUAUGGUGUACAAACUUCAGUUUUCCCAUUCUACAAAUGAAACACAUCCAUCUGUCUGACUCCAUCUCUUUUCGUACCCUAGGGUUACUUCUAGUGUAUAAUGGAGUUUAAUUAUUCAAAGAGCAAGUAGAACAUUUUUCUCAUAAUUUCCUUUACCCGUUGCCAGGUGGUAGAGUUUUUAAUUUUUUACUGUUAACAUAGUGUUUUUCAUGAAAUUCCGAGGCUUCUAUACAUUUCCUAUUGAUAAUUGGUCAAUUUCUUCAUUUUAUUGUGCUGAUGGAUCUGGCAAACCUAUAUGAGACUGAAUAUGAAUGAUGUGUAAUGAAUAAUUUCUAUUUCUGAUUGCCUGUUGCAGCUGUAUGAAUAACAAGGUUAAUUCUGAAUUUUCAGGAAUAAGUUAGGCAGUUUCUACAUGCAGAACAACUCUUUCUGCAUGUUGCAAGUCAGUAAUGAUAUUAAGAGAUUCAGUAAAAUCUAAUACCAUAAGGUUUGCAUACAACCCUGAUUUUUUUUUCACUGAAGUAUAUGGACUUUGAAUUACUUUGCUCAUUUUGUCUAACUUGUAACCUGCCAUUCCCAACUUAUUUGCAUCAGUAUAGAAUGUUGGUGCUUCGGGAAUUGGUGUUCCUUUUACAAUACGUGGGAGAAUCCAAUUAGUUAUUUUUAUAAAAUAAAGAUGCUUUGUUUUAGGAUGUUUGCUGUUAAUUCCUCCUAAAUAGUUGCUACAAGCUCUUUGCCAGUCUUCAUUGAUCACCUAUAAUGACACAAUCUCAGCAUUAGUAUCAGGCACUACAAUUUCUUCUGGGUCUGUUCCUGUCCAUUGACACCAGUUGAUUCUACCUUUUAUGAUUAAA